rnacentral:rRNA from 1 species
GUGGGGAAUAUUGGACAAUGGGCGAAAGCCUGAUCCAGCCAUGCCGCGUGUGUGAAGAAGGUCUUCGGAUUGUAAAGCACUUUAAGUUGGGAGGAAGGGCAGUAAGUUAAUACCUUGUUGUUUUGACGUUACCGACAGAAUAAGCACCGGCUAACUUCGUGCCAGCAGCCGCGGUAAUACGAAGGGUGCAAGCGUUAAUCGGAAUUACUGGGCGUAAAGCGCGCGUAGGUGGUUUUGUAAGUUGGAGGUGAAAUCCCCGGGCUCAACCUGGGAACUGCCUACAAAACUGCAUGACUAGAGUACGGUAGAGGGUAGUGGAAUUUCCUGUGUAGCGGUGAAAUGCGUAGAUAUAGGAAGGAACACCAGUGGCGAAGGCGACUACCUGGACUGAUACUGACACUGAGGUGCGAAAGCGUGGGGAGCAAACAGGAUUAGAAACCCCGGUAGUCC